rnacentral:lncRNA from 1 species
UCUAUCAAACUUCCACAGCUAAAACCUUGAACCGCAUCCUUGCCUUGAACCAACUAAUUUCACUUUUAAAUUCAGCCAUAUUUGGCCACAGCUUGAACCAUUAGCCAUGGAUUAUUGGAGAUGUAUGCUCUUAUAUGCUUUAAUUGAAGACUUGGCAUUGGGAUUCAGGGCAAGGAAGAAAAAAUUGAUCUUCAUGUGUAUUGGAG